rnacentral:tRNA from 1 species
GAUGUGGCUCAGUGGUAGAGCACUUGCCUUGUAUGUAUAAGGCCCUGGGUUCAAUCCCCAGCACACCA